AUGACGGUAACCCAGGACAACACUCAAACAGAACGUGAACCGUUGAUCAUACAAAACCUGGCCAUCGAAGAAGGCACAAAAGAUGAAGGGAUCGAACGCCUGUACAACAACGUCAUGACAGCGAAUAAGGACAAAGGGCACGAGAUUUUAAUAAAUACAGAGACGUCAACAGUAACGGUCAGCCACAUGGCACAAAGCUUCGACAUUGGAAAGCCAGUGCACAACGAAACCAUGGCAGUCAUGGUACAGAUGUUGAAAAAGCAACUCAGGGGCACAAAGAGAAAGAUUCUAUCAACAUACAACACCGCAUCAAUAUGCAUGGCCAACCAUGAAGAUCCAUUGGAAUUGAAAAAUAAAGACGAAGCACACAUCAGAGACAAGACAAUUCCUAAAAGGCUUAAAAGAUUCCUUGAUCUGGAAGAAGGAGAGCAACUACAAGAUUUCGACAUGGAACAAGUCCCAGAGUUGAGAAAGAAAAUUCUCUAUCAAAUAAUUAGCCAAUACAGAGAUACGGCCGCACUGUCAUUAAUCAACUACACCGCAGAUAUGCUGAAAUCUGAGGUCGAUAUGGAAGACAGUGAAAUGCAACGAAUACAUUGUGACAUAAUUCAACAAGAGAUUCCUCCAACUCCCGAGCACAUUGGGACAAGCGCUCAAGAGAUAAAAGUUAUUGACAUUAAGGACACAAGCAGCGAUGAGUAG
rnacentral:rRNA from 1 species